UUUUCAGACCUGUGCAACGGUAUUGGGAGACAGAGGGUCAGGAUGGGAACAUAGCAGCCCACCUUCCUUUACUGUGUGCCGCAGGUAUCUGGGGAGAG
rnacentral:SRP_RNA from 1 species